UACGUAGGGUGCAAGCGUUAAUCGGAUUUAUUGGGCGUAAAGGGCGCGUAGACGGGAGGAUAAGUCAGAUGUGAAAUCCCGGGGCUCAACCCCGGAACAGCAUUUGAAACUAUUUUUCUAGAGGAUGGACGGAGAAAACGGAAUUCCACAAGUAGCGGUGAAAUGCGUAGAUAUGUGGAAGAACACCAGUGGCGAAGGCGGUUUUCUAGUUUAUUCCUGACGUUGAGGCGCGAAAGCUAGGGGAGCAAAC
rnacentral:rRNA from 1 species